UGUGGAGUCCCAUAGCAGCAGGAUUAUAAAGGGGAAAGCAUGUUCUCGACAGAGCAUCGCUGAAGCAACAUACACACUAGAGAGAAGUUGAUCGUUUCGUCUUUUUCAGUCUCAAAAAAAAUCGCUUUGCUCAGAGAUGUCUCCAACCGCUGGUUCCUCUCGUGAUCCCCAAUCCCGUUUUGAGCUCUGUUGUAAUUGACUCUCGGCAGGUGGUUGGUUUCGACACAACAUCUUAAAAGGUUUGUGUGUCUCUGUGUGUGUGCAUGCCUGCCAGUGAUAUCGUGUGUGGAGUGGGAUUCGGGGUCUCACCACCACAUUAUCUCACACCUGAAAAGCAAGCAGCAAGCGGAAAGGAGGAGGGAUAGAAGCGAUUCCUCGAGGCAGUGGAUCAUCUCAGAGGACCCCUGGGCCCAAAGGGAGAAUGGAUAUGGCGUCUCCUUCAAGCGACCACAACAUUCACGCUCCAAUGUCCAGAAUACAAAAAAUCCUCAAAGUGGCUGUACUGCAGAGCCACUUUGAGAGGAAACCUUCCUCCCUGAUCAACCGUCAGCCAGAGCGCACCUCCCUCACGGACUAGAGUGUGUGUUCUUCCUCUCACCCUGGCAUUGGUUGACAGCAAAUCUCUCCACUGAUCCACGUGACACCAUCUGUGUUCUCUCCGCUGUUGAUCCUUUCCGUGUCCAAAGCCCAGUGUCCUCCCUCUUUAUCCGCCACCUGCCCACCUCUCACUCUCCCUCCUUUCCUCUCCCUCCUUCACCGUCUCUCUCAGUCUCCCCCUCCCUCUCUCCCUCCUUCCCUCUCGCAGCUCCAUUAUUCAACAGGACUUCUAUGGAGGACCUUGUUUUGGGAGAAAGCAACAGCCUCGGCUUCUGUAUAUUCAAAUCGUAAAGAUACACAGGUUACAUCCCAAAUAGCACCCUCCUCCCUAUAUAGUACACUACUUUCGACCAGAGCCCUAUGGACCCUGGUCAAAAGUAGUGCACUGUGAAGGGAAUGGGUUGCCAUUUGGGAUGCAGGACAGGGUCAUAACACAUCAUGGAGAAGGGAAGAGGCAGCCAUCAUCUCAUGAUCUGCAUAUGUCAGAAACAUAGUAACACACACACACACACACACACACACAUGCCUAAAUAUGAAUGCACACUCACUCACUCUAGAGGAGUUGGCUUUACUUCAUCAUUUUAUGAGUUAUGCCAGCAUAUGAUUGAGAGUUUACAGCCAAAUAGCACCCGUGUAUCAUUUAACAGACCUACCAUUCAUCUCAUCCAGUAGCAGAUAGAUUUCACAUCACUGAGAUAUAUCUUUGUAAUUCAGAAACAAACGUGCAUAUGUGUCAUUUCUACUGUAGUAAACACCAAUGUGAUGAAUGUGGAACGAUAUCUUUGUGUUGUGUUAACAGGUAUAUGAUUGACAAGCAUGCACUCUGUUACAGCACUGCACAGUAAAUGCAUGCUGUGUUUAAGAUGCUUAGAGGAGACUGUAAAGUCAUUGAUGUGAUUCAGUCAUAUCAAUAUCAUACAUAAGUGUGGUUCAUUCAUUUAUUCAACUCAUGGCAAAAUGAAAACAGCUAUUCUCACUGAGGACCUACCGUGAGUCACAUGUUACUGCUGAUAGAGCACAGAGCAGACGAAGGCUGACCCCAUUCUGGGAUGAUAACAUGGAUCACAAAUAGUUAACGUAUUGGCCGCUUUGCCUCAACGCAGUUCGGAGUGGUCAUGUGACCAACACUAUUUAAUAGCUUGUUGUGAAGGGUCGUGGCACCUCUACAGGACUCCAAUUACCCCAGACCACGCCCCUUUCCUCACUCCUCUGUUUCCCACUGAAGCAGCAUGCUUCUUCCUACACGGCUCAUGCUUAGUGCUCCCGCGUGGCGCAGCGGUCUAAGGCACUGCAUCUCAGUGCUAGAGGCGUCACUAAUGUCCCUAGUUCGAUUCCAGGCUGUAUCACUACUGGCCGUGAUUGAGAGUCCCAUAGGGCGGCGCACAAUUGGCCCAGCGUCAUCCGGGUUUGGUCUGGGUUUGGCCGUCCUUGUAAAUAAGAAUUUGUUCUUAACUGACUUGCCUGGUUAAAUAAAGGAUUCAAAAAUG